GAAUAUUGGACAAUGGGGGCAACCCUGAUCCAGCCAUGCCGCGUGAGUGAAGAAGGCCUUAGGGUCGUAAAGCUCUUUCACCGGUGAAGAUAAUGACGGUAGCCGGAGAAGAAGCCCCGGCUAACUCCGUGCCAGCCGCCGCGGUAAUACGGAGGGGGCUAGCGUUGUUCGGAAUUACUGGGCGUAAAGCGCACGUAGGCGGCUUAUCAAGUCAGAGGUGAAAUCCCGGAGCUUAACUUCGGAACUGCCUUUGAGACUGAUAGGCUUGAGUUCGGGAGAGGUAAGUGGAAUACCUAGUGUAGAGGUGAAAUUCGUAGAUAUUAGGUGGAACACCAGUGGCGAAGGCGACUUACUGGACCGAUACUGACGCUGAGGUGCGAAAGCGUGGGGAGCAAACAGG
rnacentral:rRNA from 1 species